rnacentral:rRNA from 1 species
AUUGCGGCGUGGUUUAGGCAUGCAAGUCGGUCGUCCCGCAAGGGACGAGGCGCAAGGGUGAGUAAGGCGAAGGCAACCAACCCCAGACUUGGGUAUAGCCGCGGGAAACUGCGGGUAAUCCCCAGCGACGUCGCGAGGAGACAUCUCCUUGCGACCAAAGGUGUGAUUCCGGUCUGGGACGGGCCUUCGUGGUAUCAGGUAGUUGGUGGGGUAAUGGCUCACCAAGCCGAUGACGCCUACCGGGCGUGCGAGCGUGGCCCGGCACACUGGGACUGAGACACUGCCCAGACUCCUACGGGAGGCUGCAGUCGAGAAUCUUCGGCAAUGGGCGCAAGCCUGACCGAGCGACGCCGCGUGGAGGAUGAAGGCCUUCGGGUUGUAAACUCCUGUCGAGGGGGAGGAAGGCUCCGUGAAGAACGGAGCUUGACCGAUCCCUGGAGGAAGCACGGGCUAAGUUCGUGCCAGCAGCCGCGGUAAGACGAACCGUGCGAACGUUAUUCGGAAUCACUGGGCUUAAAGCGCGUGUAGGCGGCCUGGAGCGUCAGUGGCUGAAAUCCCCCGGCUCAACCGGGGAACGGGCCCUGAAACGUCCAGGCUGGAGGGGGGUAGGGGGAGCCGGAACUCACGGUGGAGCGGUGAAAUGCGUUGAGAUCGUGAGGAACGCCCGUGGCGAAAGCGGGCUCCUGGACCCCACCUGACGCUGAGACGCGAAAGCUAGGGGAGCGAACGGGAUUAGAUACCCCGGUAGUCCUAGCCGUAAACCAUGAGCACUGGGUAGGGGGCCUCGCCGAUGGGCUCCCUGCGCAUCGAUAGCUUGAAGUGCUCCGCCUGGGGAGUAUGGUCGCAUGGCUGAAUCUUCAAAGGAAUUUGACUG